rnacentral:lncRNA from 1 species
UCUGCAGGAUUUACGCGCACGUUGGAACCGAAGAGAGCUCUGUUGUUGCACCCACAAGAGCUUACUGGUGAAGGAAUGGGACAAGACCCAUCUUUAUGCAAAGCCAGCGUUACAGUAAUGUUCCAGGUAGGUGUACAUGGUUUAUGCUCUUACAGAGGAGACCUUGUAGAUAACCACUCCAUGAUGAACACAAAAUGACAAGCAUAUGGCUGAACUUUCAAGUGAUGUCAUCUUACUACUGAGAAGUGAGAGAGAGGUCUUAAGGGGUCUUUGAAUGACUAUUUUUAGGUACAUAAAAUGCUUUCCUCUGUUGUCUACAGCAUCUCAUAAUCUAUCCUGGGGAAUUCAGCUGCCUCCCAGGGUGAAUACAGGUAAUUAUCCAAAUUGGUGUAUGUCAUCUUUGUAAAUGUUCAAGAAAACAAGUGGCCGGCGGAACAAUGUUUUUUGGCGCCUUCCAUCUUGUUCCUCUUGAAAUGAUUUUCUGGGGAGGGAGAUCGCAACCCGGUACUACAGUUCUUGUAAGGGUGUGCUGUUACCCUCAUCCAUAUAUCGAUCACGUUACUGUCAGAUGAUUUGAAU